rnacentral:lncRNA from 10 species
GCCUUUGCCGGCCCCGCGGCACCAGAAGUUGGGCUGGUCCAGGAGGAACGAGUCCGAGAACUGGCUGAAGCCGAUGAACAGCGCCGGGAUCCAGCAUGGAAACAGCCUCUUCUGUUUGAUGAGAAUCAUCCCAAAGUUGGCAUAUGAAGCUUGAGUUUCAAGUAUGGAUGCUGAGCUCUUGACAGUGGGUGGGCAAACUGCAGAUAAUCAUUGUUAGAAGGGCUUGUGGAAAGAACAAUGAAGUAACCAGAGCUUACAUGAAAGAAGUUUCACUUUUCAAAUGAGAUAAACUAAUGUUCUUUAAACAACCCUUUUGUUCUAAUGCUUUUCCUACUAAUUCUAAAUGGAGGUGAAGAAAAACACACAGAUGGAUGUAACCAAAUCUAAAGUUAUUAAACGGAUUUUUUUUUAUGACUGGAAGCUAGCGGGCAACAAGAGGAAUGAAUAUUCCUGAAGGAGGCAGAUUAUUAGACCCAGAGUAUACUUUCUGAGGUACCCUACGCGAAGGAAGGAUCAUUGCACCAUUACGGAGACGAGGAUACAAACUGUCAGGCCUCUGAGCCCAAGCUAAGCCAUCACAUCUCCUGUGACCUGCACAUAUACAUCCAGAUGACCUGAAGCAAAUGAAGAACCACAAAAAAUAACAUUCCACCAUUGUGAUCUGUUCCUACCCACCCUAACUGAUCAAUUGACCUUAUGACAAUACCCCCUCCCCGCCCUUGCAAUAAUAUACUUUGUCAUACUCCCCCGCCCUUAAGAAGGUACUUUGUAAUAUUCUCCCCGCCCUUGAGAAUGUACUUUGUGAGAUCCACCCCCUGCCUAUAAAAAAUUGCUCCUAACUCCACCGCCUAUCCCAAACCUAUAAGAACUAAUGAUAAUCCCAGCACCCUUUGCUGACUCCUUUCUUGGACACAGCCUGCUUGCACCCAGGUGAAAUAAACAGCCUUGUUGCUCACACAAAGC